rnacentral:lncRNA from 10 species
GUCACUACCUACCAAGGGGUGUCAGAUGCAGGCACAAUGUAGGACGAUUGUCUCUGGGCCUGUGUCUUGGUUAUCAUGGAGCUAGACUGGGCCUGGUGACAGGGCCCUGAUGGGGUUGUCCUGUGUGGUCACGGAGGUGAUCAGAAAAGAUGCAGAAUGGAAUUGCUGCGAGGAUGAAUGAGAUGACUGUCAGCACAUAACAGGCAGCUGGUGAGUGUUCAGGGAUUACCCUCAGUAGCUGCCCAGAGACCAAAACCAUCCACCUGAUAGUGACUUUUCCCAAGCCAGAAGGAAGAGAAAAGAGCAGGUCCCACUCACCUGAAUCUGAUCAGUGAGCUGUGUUGAGAUGUGCCUCUCAUCUAGAAAAUGGUCCUUCACGCAGAGCUACUCACAGACACUGCUGUGUGUCUCUAACUGCUCCACAACACAGAGGCGAUGGGGACUCAGCAACAGUGACAUUCUGGGGUGACACAACCCACCACCAUGGGAGUCUGCUUGGGUCAACAGGGCCCAGAGUCCGUGUCCUCUAUCCCCUGAACUGACAUGUGUGUAUGCAAUGUAUUUGUGUAUGCAUAUGUGCCUGUGUGUGUGUGAGUGUGUAUGUGUGUGUUUGUCUUGCUUCUCUGGACAGGCCUAGCUUCUCCACUCAUGGGUGCACCCAGGUCCUCAUCACUGUCACCUUAGAGCAUUAGAGCCUCUAUAGGUGCUCCCCAAUCUCUGCCCUCCCCACCCAUGGUGGUCCUGGGGAUGCAGACAGAGGAGGGGCACUGCAUAAUGCUGAGAGGGCUGGCACCCUCUCUAGGUGGAACACAGGUCAUUUGUAAAGUUGUAGGUCUGCCAAGCAGUAUUGGAUUCAACACAUCUUCUCACCUUCUCUUUCCAGCCACCCUCCAGGGUGCCCCGACUCACUUUCCCUGCAGAUGGAGGCAAGGAGGCUCCACAGACAACCCCCCUGCCUGAGGUCACAUAGUGGCCAGCAGGCCAGGUACUGACAAACUGCCCCUGACCAGGUUCCCAGUGAUGAGUGAUGAGACCCCUAAUGACCACUCCUCCAUUGACCAGGUCCCACUGAUCAAGUCCCCACUGACCAUGUCUUCCUAACCAGGCCCACACUUAAUAGGCCUCAUGGGCCAGACCCCACUGACCAAUUUUCCACUGACCUGGUCCCCAUUGACAAGACAGGGUUCCCACUGACAAGACCACAAUUUACCAGGUUGCUGCUCAACCGACCCCCCACUGAACAAUUCUCCAUGAACGAGUACCCAGCUGACUGAGCCCCCUCUGACCAGGUCCCCACUGAUGAGGCCUUUACUGAGGAGGCCGCCACUAACCAGGCCCCUGCUGAUCAGGUCCCAAAUGACCAGGUCCUGAUGACCAGGUCAUCUCUGACCAUGGUCCACUGACCAGGCCCCGGAGCAACGGGGUUCAAAGUCUCAUUACAAUGUCCCCCUCAGCUCAUAGACCCUCCCUCCCUGCAUGUGUGCCCAGAAGUCAGGCCCUGGGGUUUUUUUUUGGGACGUGGCCUUUCCUCCAAGACACAGGGAGAGACAGUUGGCCUCAGGCUCCAGGUUCCCAGCUCCACACUCACCCCAAAGGCCCUCUGGGCCCGUCUCAAAGGAGAAAGUGAGGUGGCCUGACACUGCCUGGACACACCAUCUACCCUAUUCCUGAGUGUCAGGGUGUGAGGAAGGGAGGGACAUUUGGUAGAUAAGGCACGCUGUGCUGUUGGGUCUCUCAGGGCCCUUCCCACAGAGCCCCGAUCUAAAGACAGAACACAGAGGCUACAGGAAGACUAAUCCAGAACCUCUGAGACAGCCAGGGACCACAUGAGGACUCUCCCCAGACAGCCAGAAGGCCCUUUGCUAGUUUCUUGGUACUUCAGUGGAUGUGGCAGUGGUUCUUCUGUUGGGGACCAGUGAGUACACACUGGGGAGGGCUCACCUGUGCUUCCUCAGUGGCUCCACCUCUGCUUCUAAAAAAAAUGACUCAUUCCAGAGCUGGCGCAGAGAAAAUACAAGCUGAGCUUAGAACAUCUUCUGCCAGAAA